rnacentral:rRNA from 1 species
AGGCAGGUCUCUGGGCAUUAACUGACGCUGAGGAGCGAAAGCAUGGGGAGCGAACAGGAUUAGAUACCCUGGUAGUCCAUGCCGUAAACGUUGGGCACUAGGUGUGGGGGACAUUCCACGUUUUCCGCGCCGUAGCUAACGCAUUAAGUGCCCCGCCUGGGGAGUACGGCCGCAAGGCUAAAACUCAAAGGAAUUGACGGGGGCCCGCACAAGCGGCGGAGCAUGCGGAUUAAUUCGAUGCAACGCGAAGAACCUUACCAAGGCUUGACAUGAACCGGAUCGGGCUGGAAACAGUCUUUCCCCUUGUGGGCUGGUUUACAGGUGGUGCAUGGUUGUCGUCAGCUCGUGUCGUGAGAUGUUGGGUUAAGUCCCGCAACGAGCGCAACCCUCGUUCUAUGUUGCCAGCACGUGAUGGUGGGGACUCAUAGGAGACUGCCGGGGUCAACUCGGAGGAAGGUGGGGACGACGUCAAAUCAUCAUGCCCCUUAUGUCUUGGGCUUCACGCAUGCUACAAUGGCCGGUACAAAGGGUUGCGAUACUGUGAGGUGGAGCUAAUCCCAAAAAGCCGGUCUCAGUUCGGAUUGGGGUCUGCAACUCGACCCCAUGAAGUCGGAGUCGCUAGUAAUCGCAGAUCAGCAACGCUGCGGUGAAUACGUUCCCGGGCCUUGUACACACCGCCCGUCAAGUCACGAAAGUUGGUAACACCCGAAGCCGGUGGCCUAACCCCUUGUGGGAGGGAGCCGUCGAAGGUGGGACUGGCGAUUGGGACUAAGUCGUAACAAGGUAGCC